rnacentral:snRNA from 1 species
UAUAGUUCUCCCUAAUCUACAUG